UACGUAGGGCGCAAGCGUUAUCCGGAAUUAUUGGGCGUAAAGGGCUCGUAGGCGGUCUGUCACGUCGGGAGUGAAAACUCGGGGCUCAACCCCGAGCCUGCUUCCGAUACGGGCAGACUAGAGGUAUGCAGGGGAGAAUGGAAUUCCUGGUGUAGCGGUGAAAUGCGCAGAUAUCAGGAGGAACACCGGUGGCGAAGGCGGUUCUCUGGGCAUUACCUGGCGCUGAGGAGCGAAAGUGUGGGGAGCGAACAGG
rnacentral:rRNA from 1 species